CAAGUCAGAUGUGAAAGCCUUCUGUUCAACGGAAGAAUUGCAUCUGAAACUGCUAAUCUUGAGUAUAGGAGGGGAGAAUGGAACUUCUGGUGGAGCGGUGAAAUGCGUAGAUAUCAGAAGGAACGCCGGCGGCGAAAGCGAUUCUCUGGCCUAUUACUGACACUCAGUGUGCGAAAGCUAGGGGAGCAAACGGGAUUAGAUACCCCGGUAGUCCUAGCCGUAAACGAUGGGCACUAAGUAGAGGGAAUUACCUAUAUUCUCUCUGCCGUAGCUAACGCAUUAAGUGCCCCCCCUGGGGAGUACGGCCGCAAGGCUAAAACUCAAAAGAAUUGACGGGGGCUCGCACAAGCGGUGGAGCAUGUGGCUUAAUUCGAUGCAACGCGAAAAACCUUACCGGGGCUUGACAAGAUAGAAGUAGGAACCUGAAAGGGGGACGAACGGUAUCCAGUCCGUAGCUAUUACAGGUGUUGCAUGGCUGUCGUCAGCUCGUGUCGUGAGACGUUGGGUUAAGUCCCCUGACGAGCGAAACCCUUGUUUUUAGUUACCAGCGGGCUAUGCCGGGUACUCUAGAAAGACUGCCGUCGUCAAGACGGAGGAAGGUGGGGAUGACGUCAAGUCAUCAUGGCCCUUAUGCCCCGGGCUGCACACGUGCUACAAUGGUCGGUACAGACGGAAGCGA
rnacentral:rRNA from 1 species